UACGUAGGGUGCAAGCGUUGUCCGGAAUUAUUGGGCGUAAAGAGCUCGUAGGCGGUCUGUCACGUCGGCUGUGAAAAUCCCGAGGCUCAACCUCGGGUCUGCAGUCGAUACGGGGCAAAACUAGAGUAUUGCAGGGGGAGACUGGAAUUCCUGGUGUAGCGGUGAAAAUGCGCAGAUAUCAGGAGGAACACCGAUGGCGAAGGCAGGUCUCUGGGCCGAUACUGACGUGAGGAGCGAAAAGCGUGGGGGGAGCGAA
rnacentral:rRNA from 1 species